rnacentral:rRNA from 1 species
GGAGUUUGGUCCGUGUCUCAGUACCAAUGUGGGGGACCUUCCUCUCAGAACCCCUACUGAUCGAUGGCUAGGUGGGCCGUUACCCCGCCUACUACCUAAUCAGACGCAUCCCCAGCCCAUACCGGAAAAACCUUUCAUACAACUCAGAUGCCUUCAUCGUACUACAUAGAGUAUUAAUCCGACUUUCGCCGGGCUAUCCUCUUGUAUGGGGUAGGUUGGAUACGCGUUACUCACCCGUGCGCCGGUCGCCGGCAAGAAUAGCAAGCUACUCUCCCGAUGCCCCUCGACUUGCAUGUGUUAAGCCUGUAGCUAGCGUUCAUC